UAAUAUAUCGGAACGUACCCUAGAGUGGGGGAUAACGUAGCGAAAGUUACGCUAAUACCGCAUACGAUCUAAGGAUGAAAGUGGGGGAUCGCAAGACCUCAUGCUCGUGGAGCGGCCGAUAUCUGAUUAGCUAGUUGGUAGGGUAAAAGCCUACCAAGGCAUCGAUCAGUAGCUGGUCUGAGAGGACGACCAGCCACACUGGAACUGAGACACGGUCCAGACUCCUACGGGAGGCAGCAGUGGGGAAUUUUGGACAAUGGGCGAAAGCCUGAUCCAGCAAUGCCGCGUGAGUGAAGAAGGCCUUCGGGUUGUAAAGCUCUUUUGUCAGGGAAGAAACGGUGAGAGCUAAUAUCUUUUGCUAAUGACGGUACCUGAAGAAUAAGCACCGGCUAACUACGUGCCAGCAGCCGCGGUAAUACGUAGGGUGCAAGCGUUAAUCGGAAUUACUGGGCGUAAAGCGUGCGCAGGCGGUUUUGUAAGUCUGAUGUGAAAUCCCCGGGCUCAACCUGGGAAUUGCAUUGGAGACUGCAAGGCUAGAAUCUGGCAGAGGGGGGUAGAAUUCCACGUGUAGCAGUGAAAUGCGUAGAUAUGUGGAGGAACACCGAUGGCGAAGGCAGCCCCCUGGGUCAAGAUUGACGCUCAUGCACGAAAGCGUGGGGAGCAAACAGGAUUAGAUACCCUGGUAGUCCACGCCCUAAACGAUGUCUACUAGUUGUCGGGUCUUAAUUGACUUGGUAACGCAGCUAACGCGUGAAGUAGACCGCCUGGGGAGUACGGUCGCAAGAUUAAAACUCAAAGGAAUUGACGGGGACCCGCACAAGCGGUGGAUGAUGUGGAUUAAUUCGAUGCAACGCGAAAAACCUUACCUACCCUUGACAUGGCUGGAAUCCUUGAGAGAUCAGGGAGUGCUCGAAAGAGAACCAGUACACAGGUGCUGCAUGGCUGUCGUCAGCUCGUGUCGUG
rnacentral:rRNA from 1 species